rnacentral:rRNA from 1 species
AGUGAACGCUGGCGGUAGGCCUAACACAUGCAAGUCGAACGGCAGCACAGAGGAGCUUGCUCCUUGGGUGGCGAGUGGCGGACGGGUGAGGAAUACAUCGGAAUCUACUCUGUCGUGGGGGAUAACGUAGGGAAACUUACGCUAAUACCGCAUACGACCUACGGGUAAAAGCAGGGGAUCUUCGGACCUUGCGCGAUUGAAUGAGCCGAUGUCAGAUUAGCUAGUUGGCGGGGUAAAGGCCCACCAAGGCGACGAUCCGUAGCUGGUCUGAGAGGAUGAUCAGCCACACUGGAACUGAGACACGGUCCAGACUCCUACGGGAGGCAGCAGUGGGGAAUAUUGGACAAUGGGCGCAAGCCUGAUCCAGCCAUACCGCGUGGGUGAAGAAGGCCUUCGGGUUGUAAAGCCCUUUUGUUGGGAAAGAAAUCCAUCUGGUUAAUACCCGGGUGGGAUGACGGUACCCAAAGAAUAAGCACCGGCUAACUUCGUGCCAGCAGCCGCCGUAA